rnacentral:rRNA from 1 species
UUCCGUGCCGCAGCUAACGCAUUAAGUCGUCCGCCUGGGGAGUACGGCCGCAAGGUUGAAACUCAAAGGAAUUGACGGGGGCCCGCACAAGCGGUGGAGCAUGUGGUUCAAUUCGAUGCAGAGCGAAGAACCUUACCUGGGCUUGACAUGCGGGAAGUAGGAACCGGAAACGGGGACGACCUGUUAAGUCAGGAACCUGCACAGGUGGUGCAUGGCUGUCGUCAGCUCGUGNCCGUGAGGUGUUGGGUUAAGUCCCGCAACGAGCGCAACCCUCACUCUAUGUUGCCAUCGGGUAAUGCCGGGCACUCUUAGGGAACUGCCGGCGAAGAGCUGGAGGAAGGGGGGGAUGACGUCAAGUCCGUAUGCCCCUUAUGUNCCAGGGCUACACACAUGCUACAAUGGCCGAUACAGAGGGUUCCCAACCCGCGAGGGGGAGGCAAUCCCACAAAGUCGGUCUCAGUUCGGAUUGCAGGCUGCAACUCGCCUGCAUGAAGUCGGAAUCGCUAGUAAGCGCAGAUCAGCAGGCUGCGCUGAAUACGUUCCCGGGCCUUGUACACACCGCCCGUCACACCACGAAAGCCGGUUGUACCAGAAGUCGCUGAGCCAACCGCAAGGAUGCAGGCGCCGAAGGUAUGGUCGGUGAUUGGGGUGAAGUCGUAANCAAGGUACC